AAGUGCUUCUCGUUGCAGCCGCUAGGGCAGGUAGCAGCGUUCGGAAGAUUCGGAAGCUGAAGAUACAAAACGCGGCGGUUCCACGUUCCAUGCUACCGCGUUCGCCUGGACGUUGCAGGGUUGCACGUGGGGCGUAGCCAGGAGGAUGGAGGGCACACUGGAAACGAGGUCUGUCCCCAAAUUUCUGCGUACUGGGGACACCUGGCCUGAAAUGAUGCACGACUACGCCUGCCUGCCUCGUGCCCCAUCUCCGGCUGCAGUGAGUUGGCUGCCGGAUGGAACGACUGCUACUGUUGAGGCACGUACCAUGUCAUGGUUGCGGUGUGCACCCAAGUGUCUCACAGCAAGACUUGAAAAAGCCUCAUAAGGGACACCGAGGUCAGUGUUGAAUCACUCUGCCUGCAGACGAGUGCAAUCAAGGGCCUGCCGCACUGCGUUUACACUGCAGCACGUGAAGGUACAGGCUCUGUAAAGAGCUCGGCUUGAUCGCUGUAGACAAGUGGGAUCACCUCUGUACGUGAUUCAGUGUGUCAUGCAAAUGUAGUACGAGCUUCGUAACUGGAUCCAUUGCCUCAGAUCAUUAUGCCUGUAUUGAAGUACAUUUCAAAGAUAUGUUAGCAGUGAACACUGCUAUGGCAAGGUUUGAGCACUUCGGCACACUGCACAUGCAAUUACUAUAACCUUUUUCCUCAUCGGCGCGUCCAUGACCACUGCGAGACUGAACCGCCGAAGUGCGUCGCAGAUUUCCAUCACCGGGCGACUGCUUCGGAGGAGGGCCGUGUGGCGCUGCCUGAGUCGCUGGAAUGACCGAACUGUGUGACAAUUCACCAUUUGCUGUUGUUGCUUUUACUAAUAAGAGAUAGAUGUGUACCUGUU